UACGUAGGGGGCUAGCGUUGUCCGGAAUUAUUGGGCGUAAAGAGCUCGUAGGCGGCUUGUCGCGUCGUCCGUGAAAACCCACAGCUCAACUGUGGGCUUGCGGUCGAUACGGGCAGGCUAGAGUUCGGUAGGGGAGACUGGAAUUCCUGGUGUAGCGGUGAAAUGCGCAGAUAUCAGGAGGAACACCGAUGGCGAAGGCAGGUCUCUGGGCCACUACUGACGCUGAGAAGCGAAAGCAUGGGGAGCGAACAGG
rnacentral:rRNA from 1 species